rnacentral:rRNA from 1 species
GUUUGAUCCUGGCUCAGGAUGAACGCUAGCGGCAGGCUUAAUACAUGCAAGUCGAACGGGAUUCGGGGUAGCAAUACUUUGAUGAGAGUGGCGCACGGGUGCGUAACGCGUAUGCAACCUACCUUUAACAGGGGAAUAGCCCCGAGAAAUCGGGAUUAAUACUCCGUAACAUUGCGGUGUGGCAUCACACUGCAAUUAAAGAUUUAUCGGUUAAAGAUGGGCAUGCGUGACAUUAGCUAGUUGGUGAGGUAACGGCUCACCAAGGCAACGAUGUCUAGGGGUCCUGAGAGGGUUAUCCCCCACACUGGUACUGAGACACGGACCAGACUCCUACGGGAGGCAGCAGUAAGGAAUAUUGGUCAAUGGGCGCAAGCCUGAACCAGCCAUGCCGCGUGCAGGAAGACGGCCCUAUGGGUUGUAAACUGCUUUUAUCAGGGAAUAAACCCCCGCUCGUGAGCGGGGCUGAAGGUACCUGAAGAAUAAGCAUCGGCUAACUCCGUGCCAGCAGCCGCGGUAAUACGGAGGAUGCAAGCGUUAUCCGGAUUCAUUGGGUUUAAAGGGUGCGCAGGCGGAUUGGUAAGUCAGGGGUGAAAUCCCACAGCUCAACUGUGGAACUGCCUUUGAUACUGUCAGUCUAGAGUAUAGUUGAAGUUGGCGGAAUGUGUCAUGUAGCGGUGAAAUGCUUAGAUAUGACACAGAACACCGAUCGCGAAGGCAGCUAGCUAAGCUAUAACUGACGCUCAUGCACGAAAGCGUGGGGAUCAAACAGGAUUAGAUACCCUGGUAGUCCACGCUGUAAACGAUGAUUACUCGAUGUUGGCGAUACACAGUCAGCGUCUGAGCGAAAGCAAUAAGUAAUCCACCUGGGGAGUACGAUCGCAAGAUUGAAACUCAAGGAAUUGACGGGGGCCCGCACAAGCGGAGGAGCAUGUGGUUUAAUUCGA